rnacentral:lncRNA from 1 species
AUCUUUUAGACGUAGAAUGCUGGCCCCAGGAAAACAUGGAGGACUGAACUAGGCUCAGUGCUUCCACCCCAUUAGCAUGUUGGUCUAAUAGCCUUAACUGACCUACUUUUCCCAAGUUUAGCUACAUAAGCAUUUCCAUAAAACUGUCUAUUAUAUAUGUUCAAAUAAAUUAAGAUAUUGAGCUCCAGGAUUGUGGAUAUUGCACAAGAAAAGUGGAUUCUAAUACCCAUGUUAUACUUUUCCUAUAUAGUUUCUAGUGCUUGCAAAUAAUUACAACAAAAACUUUUUAAAACAGCAGUUGCUUACCAUAGCACUUUAAGGGAAAAAAAAAUAGGUGACACUUCAAAUACAUAAAUGCAAAAAAAACUAAGUCUAUUGCUAUAUUGUCUACUGGAUUUGGGGAGAAAAAAUAUAUUUCUCUGUAUAUAGUGCAUAUCAAAAAGCCAAAGGGUGAGAAUAUGGUCAGUUAGGUAUGGUAUUUUCUUUAAACAGGGUUGAAAAAAAUUAUUUUACUAUCUGUGUAGUGUACUGAAUUUCCAGCUCAUGUAAUAAACAAAACAUUCCUUGGGAUAAAAGCAGUUUGUGCACUGUUUAAUGCCAAGUACAUUCUCAUGAAACAGAAUGGAAUCACUUGCUUUUAAAAAUGUAUAAUAUUGUCUCAAAGGCAAGUGCUAUGCCAUUCACAUGAAUUAUAAAUGAGGCACCCAAAUUAAGGACUAGGGAAAAAAAUCAAUCUUGAAAUUGCACUCACAGAUAGCACCGUUUCACAUAAUUUUUAGGUCUACAGACCAGGGGCCUGUCUGAUACUAGUAUAAGGCACACAAGCUAUAUAGAUAAGUUAUAUUCCAGUGAACAAAUACAGGAUUUAAGAUAUGUCAUCUCAGAGAUUGCUGCUAGUCUUAAAAUAUGUUAAUUUUCCCCAUGAUUGGCUUAUUUUCAAGUACCUGAUCCUUUCAUCACCACAUGAAUUAUCUUUAAGUACUUAUUCACAUCUGAGAUGGGGGGAUACAGACCAUUUGACAAAGAUUGUCUGUGUCGUAUCAUUUCAGCCUGCUUUUCUUUUUGACUCAUUCCAUUAAUAACAAUCUCCUGUCGCACCAAAGGACAUUUCAGUUAGAUUUUAUAUUAAUUAAAAUAAAAGUUUACUUUUCUUUUUUGACAGGCAGUGUUAGAAAAGGAAUCAAAGUCAUGGGCAAAUGUCUUGCAAAUGAUUUCAAUUAUUCUAUUUAUUUUAACUGGUUAGCAUAACGCAUUUCUUCAUAAAGACUGUAAUUUCAAAGUGUUGCUAUGAAAACCAAAACAGAGCAGUUAGAAUUGCUCUGUCAAACUACUUUUUGUCAAUUCAUUGUUCUUUGAAGAAUUAUUUACUGCCUCGGUCUCAGUUUGGCACCUGCAAUUAAUGACUUACAAUAACAAAAUCUUGUAAUAAUUUUACAAGGGAGCGUUGUUUAAAGCAGUUGAAAUUUACAGAAUGUCUGUGUGCAGGACACAGCUUAGUGCUUGAUAUAGGCAAUUCCUUUUAAUCCUGAAUGUGAUGCUGUGAUUUAGUGUUAGUAUGUCCACCAAGAAGGAAGAAACAUCCUUCAACACUUAAGGAUGUUUCCCAAACUCAUACAAUUGGGAAGUUAUGGAUCCAAGGCCCCUCUCAUAUCUGCUCAACAACAAAACAUAGAUUAUUUUAUAUUAAUUUAUAUUCAAUGAUAUAGGAUGGACAUAUCUAUUUUCUGAGAUUAUAGGCAACUUCAAUUUUAGGUUUCUUUCUUUUCUUUGUUGGUAGCAAUAGUUAUAACCACCCAUAAUUAUAAUACUAAUUAAUAUUAUUAUAAGAAAUUAGAGUUUUAUAUACAUUCAGUCUGUUCAUAUGGAUUUAACUGAAAUAAAUGACUUCUAUUUAGUUCUGCAAGAUACAACAUCAUACCUCUAGAUUCUUCUACAUUUGCAAUAGGAAGAUGGGUUUCACCUUCCAACCAUGUCCUGUUUUCCUGCAUGAGAUAGUGUUCAGUCAUGGAAGUUGUUAUAGCUAAAGCCUAUAACCACAGAGACUUCCUAAAUCACAGUAUCCCUAUGCUGGAGUAAAAUAAAUUUGGAAUAUACAUAAGUCUUGAAAAUAGAUAUAUGCAAAGACUAGACUUUGGGUAGAUUUAUGGAAACCAGCUUCUUUUUUUUUUUUUUUUGACAUGCCAGUGGCAUGUGAAAUUCCUAGGCUAGGGAUCAAAUCUGUGCCACAGCAGUGAUCUGAGCCACAGCAGUGCCACCUAAUCCUUUAACUACUGGACCACCAGGGAACUCUAGAAACUGGGAUUUUCUUUUAGUCAUGUUGGGAAGAUGGGAAGAAGGUUGUAAAUUGUCAUUGCCUGAUUAUAAGUAAAUAAUCUUUGAGUCUUAUUAAGUUAUGAUAAGUGACUUUGAGUGCAACCACCUUCUUUCUUUGUAUCCUCUAGAAGUACGAGACCAUGUUAAGAUUCUCCCAAUAAUGUAUCUAAGUAGAAAGGAAGAAUAAAAAAAAGGAAAAAGGAAGGAGGAGAGAAGAGAGAAAUAGAAAAGGGGGGGGAAGGGAAAAAAGAAACAGUCUUAUGAGAGGAAGGAAUCUUGAAAAGUGAAUUUUGAUAAUCACAGAAACAUCAUGGGAGAUAGGAUUGCACUUUUUUAAUGUAACAAUCAAAGCUAUUUUAUUAAAGUGAGAUGAAAUUUCCAUCUGAGCAUCUGAGUGGAGGUUUCCUUUCUCCUAGAGUUUCUGCUUGGCUUUUCAUUUCCUUUGUCCGAAGCUAAAACAGAGCAGGUAUCUGGAGGCAGCUUAUAGCUGAGGACAAAGACACUAAAUCCCAGAUGUCACCUUGUCCCUGGUAUCAAACAUGCUGAUCCCAUGAAGACUUGCAAAGAAAGUAGAUUUUGGCAAGGGAGCAAAGGGACUUUGAGCCUAGAAAAGGGGGAAGUUUAGGGAAGAAAGCUGUUGGUAAGCCCAAACACAAUUCCCUCCUUCACAUCUCAGAGUUGGAGAGGGCUUCAGAGAAAACCUUGCUUUGACAUUAGAAUGUGACUCCAAGCAUGAAGAAUUAAUGUUCAGAGUUCCCACUGUAGGUCAGCCGGUUAAGAACCUGAUGUUGUCUCUGUGAGGAUGUGGCUUCAAUGUCUGGCCUCGCUCAGUGGCUUAAGGAUCCAGCAUUGCCGCAAGCUACAGGGUAAGCUACAGAUGUGGCUGGAUCCAGUGUUGCUGUGGCUGUGGCUGUGGCCUACAGCUGAAUCUCCAAUUUAACCCCUAGCCUGGGAACUUCCAUAUGCCACAGGUGGGGCCCUAAAAAAAGAAAAAAAAAAAGAGACAAGAAUUAACAAGUAUUAACUGAGCUAUAGAACCUGGAAAAUAUGCUUGACAAUUCCAAGGCAAAAGAAAAAGCCAAGGCGAGAGAGGAGGCAGCGGAAAAUGAGAAAAUACAAAUCUGGACUUCUGUGAAAUACAUACUAAGAAUCACUGAGUUUCCAUGGGUUGAAGGUAAGCUAUAGCCAGCUUCCUAUACAUCACCCCAAACAGUUCUGAGAGGCUUGUCAGGGGAUGAAGAGAUCCGGAUCUCUUCCGAAGCUACAUAAAGCACCAGCAGCCACUGGUGCAGCCUGCCUGGGGCAGAGGCUGCUGCAAGGAGGCAGGAAAAAAACAGCACUGCAGGAUCAGAGAUGAGAGAUGUCUGCAACAGACAGGCAGUGAGUGCCCUCUGAGACAGGAUCCGGUAUGCCUGCCCCUUUGCUGUUUGAGCAAAUACGUUAGAGAGGGAAGUGGAGAAAUCUCAGGGCUGUGGACAGCGAGUGAGACAGAGAUGCUUGAAGUUGACUGAAUAUUUACCUUACUGAAGCCAUUUUAAAGUGAGAGUGGCUAGAAUAUCAUAAAAUAGCAACAUUAAGUUUUCCUCUAUC